rnacentral:lncRNA from 1 species
GGGUUAAGUCAGAGGAAGUGAGAUUAAGCAGCAAGGAAUGGGCCUUGCAAAAUCGAUAGAAAGGAAUGUGAAAAAGAAGUGACCUCAGAGGCAGGGUUGCAGCACAGGUGCCUGCUGAGAGGACAGCAGAGCUCUUCCCUGGUGCAUGUGGUAGUCUUGGAACUGGAAUAAAUGCCAGAAUUAUUUCAUACCACAACACCCAAAACCCAUAUCAACUGCCAUCAUCAAACAGAGAAAAAGACCCUAAGAAGCUUGGUGAGUGAUAACAUAACAGAACAGAAAACAAAUUUCCUGAACACAGAAAAUGAAGUCUCCCUGAAGGAAGGCAAAAGACAAAAAAGAGAGACUAAAAUGGCUGUCUGGUAAAGGAGUGUGCAGAGAGUACUGUCCCUCACCAGACUGCGCUCCUUCAUUUCACAAUCACUUUUGAAACCCUCCUAUGUGCAGGUAUUGUGCCAAGUGUUGGGAGUAUCCAGAGCCCUUGCUCUCCUGGAGUCUAUACUCUAGUAUCUUUCUCUUACACUAGACCAGUGAAAAAAAAGACAUCUGGGUUUCUACUUACUCCUAGGUGUGAGCCUGUGCCCUGCUACUUAGUAACAAGCCAUCAAACCUCUGGGACCUUGGUUUCCUCACCAGUAAAAGCAAGGAUAAUAAGACCUUAACAGCAUUGUUGUAAGUAUUAAGUGUCAUCCUAUACAUAAAUAUAAUCUGCAUGUGCAAGUAUAAGGUAUUAUUUCUAUUGACUCUCAUACAGAUUCCUUCCCCCCACUUUUUGUUUUUGAUUAUCUCUUUAAUUGAGUCAAAAACGUUUUACCUAUUUGAAC